CAAGUCGUACGCGAACGACCUUUCGGGGUUAAGUAGAGUGGCGAACGGGUUAGUAACGCGUGGGAACAUACACAGCACAGGGGGAUAACCAUUGGAAACGAUGGCUAAUACCGCAUACGCCCUAUUGGGGAAAGAUUUAUCGGUGUUGGAUUGGCCCGCGUUAGAUCAGCUAGUUGGUGGGGUAAUGGCUCACCAAGGCGACGAUUUAUAGCUGGUUUGAGAGGAUGAUCAGCAACACUGGAACUGAGACACGGUCCAGACUCCUACGGGAGGCAGCAGUCGGGAAUAUUGUGCAAUGGGGGCAACCCUGACACAGCCAUGCCGCGUGAGUGAAGAAGGCCUUAGGGUUGUAAAGCUCUUUCAGAUGUGAGGAUGAUGACGAUAGCAUCAGAAGAAGCUCCGGCUAACUUCGUGCCAGCAGCCGCGGUAAUACGAAGGGAGCUAGCGUUGUUCGGAAUUACUGGGCGUAAAGGGCGUG
rnacentral:rRNA from 1 species